rnacentral:rRNA from 1 species
GCGCCCGGCCAUCCGGUCGAUCCUGCCGGAGCGCGACGCUCUCCCCAAGGACGAAGCCAUGCAUGCCCGCUCACCCGGGACGCGGCGGACGGCUCAGGACAACGGUUGCACCCCCCGCGGCGGUCCCUGCUAGCCGGACACCGCUGGCAACCCGGCGCCAAGACGUGCGCGCAAGGGCGGGCGCCCGCGGGCGAGCAGCGUGACGCAGCGACGGCCCGCCCGGGCUUCCGGGGCAUCACCCGGUCGGCGCGGUCGCGGCGCGCCGAGGGCCCGACGCCUGGCGGAGAAUCAGGGUUCGACUCCGGAGAGCGGGCCUGCGAGACGGCCCGCACAUCCAAGGACGGCAGCAGGCGCGGAACUUGCCCAAUGCGCGGCGCGCGAGGCAGCGACGGGGAGCGCGCGAGCGAGGCGGGCCCACAGCCCCCGCCGCGGAGCCGAGGGCAAGGUCUGGUGCCAGCAGCCGCGGUAAUUCCAGCUCGGCGAGCGUCGCGCGGCGCUGCUGCAGUUGAAACGCCCGUAGUUGGCCCCCCGCCGCCACGAGGAAACGGGAGCGCUCCAGGCAGGCCCGUUGGACCCGCCGCGUGGGACCGCGCAGCGGGCGCGGCGCGCCGCGGCAGCCCCGAGGAGAGCGGGCGGGGGCACCGGUACCGGCCGGGGACGGGUGAAACAGGAUGAUCCCGCCGAGACCGCCGGCCGCGCAGGCGCCUGCCAAGACCGCCUCUGUCAAUCAAGGGCGAAGGCCGGGGGCUAGAAGGCGAUCAGACACCACCGUAUUCCCGGCCGUAAACGGUGCCGCCCCGCGGCCGGCGCGCGCGUCCCGCCGGCCGCCCAGGGAAACCGGGAGGCUCCGGGCUCUGGGGGGGAGUAUGGCCGCAAGGCUGAAACUUGAAGGCAUUGACGGAGGGGUACCACCAGACGUGGAGUCUGCGGCUCAAUCUGACUCAACGCGCGCACCUCACCAGGCCCGGACGCGCGGAGGACCGACAGCCGGGCGCGCUUUCGCGAUCGCGCGGGCGGUGGUGCAUGGCCGCUCCCAGCCCGUGGCGCGAGCCGUCUGCUCCAUUGCGACAACGAGCGAGACCCCGGCCGCGGGCGCCGCGGGACGGCCCGCGCGAGCGGGAGGACGGCGGGGCGAUAGCAGGUCUGUGAUGCCCUCAGACGCCCUGGGCCGCACGCGCGCUACACUGGCGGGGCCAGCCGGCGCCCGCGAGGACGCGCGGAGCCCCCGCCGUGGCCGGGACCGCGGGCUGGAACGCCCCCGCGCACCAGGAAUGUCUUGUAGGCGCCCGCCCCCACCGCGCGCCGGAUGCGUCCCUGCCCCUUGUACACACCGCCCGUCGCUCCUACCGACUGGGCGCGGCGGCGAGCGCCCCGGACGCGCGAAGGGCCGCGAGCCCCCGCGCCUGGAGGAAGGAGAAGUCGUAACAAGGUAUCCGUAGGUGAACCUGCGGAUGGAUCCCUC